rnacentral:rRNA from 1 species
AAGCCCGUGAACUCGUCCGUGUGGGACUCCUGGGGUGCGAUGGUGUUGGCGGUGGUAUACGGCCUUGUCUACAACUGUGCUGGACAGUUUCUACGAGAUGCAAGCAUGAUUGUGCUUGUCGCCCAGGGCCAGGACGCCGACGUAUGGUGUGCACCAGGAAGUGAACUCGUGCGGCUCGAGGACAGAUUGUUGUGAUGAUCUAUCUGGGUAGUCUAGAAAAAUCCCAAUUUUGAGUGAAGAGUGGAUCCUCUUUGCUGCAAUCUUCAAUACUAGUUUCGAGGUUGCCUAACCAUGGUUCGAGGCUGAAGAAGCAAAUAGAUGAUCUGGAUGAGAAGAUGGCGGUGACUGACUCUUCUCCCGAGUCUUUGACGUCCAAGUAGAUCCAGGAUGGUGAGGACGGCGAGAAGAAAAGAUCUUUGCUGGAGAUGGUGCACCCACACCCAUCGGGCUAUUCUUCCGGAGGGCGAAGCGGGGCAAGAAGAGGGGUCAAUGGAGCUUGGAGCUCUAUGGGAAGUCUGGUGGUUUUGCUUUAUAUUUUGAUUUUUACAUGUGAAUGGGACGCUGUUCGCCUCAUUUUGCCGGGUGCUCAUGUUGUAUCCAACCGAUGUCUCUUUGAAAAGCAAUGUCAUGCUUCUCUAUGGUAGACGAGAGGUGCAUUUGGGAAGUCGCAAAAUCAUUGCUUUGUCAUGGCAUGGUCUGAG